GGACAUGUUUUCAUCAGGCUUCUCGUGAGCUCCCAAUCCAAGCUUUGUCGCUUUUGUACUCCUAAAUGGGAAUGCUGAAUGAUAUCUGAACUUAGAAAUCUGAACGAUUUUCUUCCAUUUCUUACAGACCUCAGUGGCAAAUAAAUCCCUCAUCCUGUUUAUUGUAGAUUGGUGUUGCCUGAUGCUCAAGAAGAUGCAGCCAAUGAGAUCCAGGCAAUUUGUUUUAGAAUGAUUUCCAAUUUGGGUGGUAAAGGUCUGGUGGCAGCGUGGAUAGGAAUCCUGUCAUUGUGAUGGUCAGUGUCACAGAGUGAUCCUAAGUCAGGGGUCAGCAACCUUUUCCAGCCAUGGGCUGGUCUACCGUCCCUUAGACCAUGUAGUGGGCCGGACUAUAUUUUGAGGGGGGGGGAUGAUCAAAUUCCUAUGCCCCACAAAUAACCCAGAGAUGCAUUUUAAAUAAAAGCACACAUUCUACUCAUGUAAAAACACACUGAUUCCCAGACCAUCCACAGGCCAGAUUGAGAAGGCGAUUGGGCCGCAUCCAGCCCUCGGGCCUUAGGUUGCCUACCCCUGUCCUAAGUCAUAGGAGCCAACUCCUAGGGGCUGAGGGAGCUUUGGCCCCCACAAUAAAAAACCUGAGGGGGUUGGGCCCCCACAAAGUUGAUGGGCAUUCCCAUUUAAAUGGUGUGUGCGCACUGCGUCAUGUGAUCAAUUAUGCAGGGCGGGGCUUACCUGGGCCCCCACAAUAUUUUUUUCAAGUUGGCACCCCUGUCCUAAGUGGAGGAGGGCAGUGAACUGGCAGGUUACCUGCCCUGCUGGCUUGCACUGGGAGACGGUGGAGAAUUUUAUCUUGGGGGGUGAAGUCAAACUGUUGGGAGGUUGCAGCACCUGCUGUGGCUGUAGAGACCGAUACAGGAGUUGUUUCCUAUAAUGAAGCAUGAUUUUUUUGCUUUGGCAUGUUUCCAUUUUGUAAGGGAAGUAAAACAUCAGUGGGUGAGGAAUGCUAGGUCCAAGCUGGCGUAGUUCAUGAGCCCAGUCAAUGAAGGGGCCAUUGAUGGUCUUGUUCAUGAGCCCAGUCAAUGAAGGGGACAUUGAUGGUUUUGUUCAUGAGCCCAGUCAAUGAAGGGGACAUUGAUGGUCUUGUUCUCCAAUAGGUUUUCUAAUUCUCCCCUUAAAGUUGUCCCAAGUUGGUUGCUUUCAUUGCAACCUGUGGUUGUGAAUUCUCUAAGUUAACUAUACACUGUGUUUGAAUUGUGCCUGCUUCUGGAAAGUAAGCUAGAUAGAUCUGCAGUAAAUGUUUAACAUUUUAUGAAUCGUCUUUUCAAAACAUUUCUACAUUGCUUUCAAUCCAGAACCUAUGAAAACAAGGUCUUUCUGUGUGGAUAAGCUCAAUAUCUCUCCUUGCCUGUUCCAUGCCGAGUUUUCUGUGGGUCAAGGAUGAUAAGGUAAUUUUCUUAAAACUCACCUAUUAGCAUUCUGCUACAGCCGCAGUUUCAUAAAAUUGUUCCUACCUAAGUGAAAAAGUAAUAAAACUGACUUCUAUUAUUUAUUACGAACCUUUAUAUCUUUCACAUUUAUUUUUAAAGCCUUCCCCCCUCCCCCGCUUGCCUUUCCCCGUGUUUUUCCUAGGAUCUUUUAUGAUCAGGGCAAGGGCAGGAUUCUGGCUCUGCAACUCAACUCACCCCAAUUCUGAAUUUUAAAGGCAAUGGGUUUCUGGUUUUCCUUACGCCUUCUUGGCUGGGACAGAAAUACACGCACGCACCCACACACAAACAGACCUUAUUACUAUGUGGGUUUCAAAUACCAAAAUGAACUAAUUAUGUUUCUCUGUCAUUUUCCUUUGAUGGCUCGCCCUGAAUAGAAAAGAACAGAAGCAACCCAGGAUGCAGACAAACAAAACACCCCACCUCUUUUCCUAAUAAAUUUCUGAAUCCAUUUGUCACGCAGAUCGCAGGAAGCUAGAGAAAAGAUGAAACGGGGACACGUUCUAAGGGCAACAUGUAUCCAGCUUCAGGAAAUGGGCCAAUGGUGUUCUCACUCUGCCUCAUAGUUGCGUUGAGUCCUUUCAUCACUUGGCUUCAGAAUGUAGAGGCAGCAAACCCCCAUAAACAGCUUCUCAUGUAAGCAAUUCCCAACUCCACUAUUUCAGGUGUAAAGAGGUAAGGUAAAGGUAAAGGGACCCCUGACCAUUAGGUCCAGUCAUGACCGACUCUGGGGUUGCGGCGCUCAUCUCGCUUUAUUGGCCAAGGGAGCCGGCGUACAGCUUCCGGGUCAUGUGGCCAGCAUGACUAAGCCGCUUCUGGCGAACCAGAGCAGCGCACAGAAACGCCAUUUACCUUCCCGCCGGAGUGGUACCUAUUUAUCUACUUGCACUGGUGUGCUUUCGAACUGCUAGGUUGGCAGGAGCAGGGACCGAACAACGGGAGCUCACCCCAUCGCGGGGAUUCGAACCGCCGACCUUCUGAUCGGCAAGCCCUAGGCUCUGUGGUUUAACCCACAGCGCCACCCGUGUCCCUGUGUAAAGAGGUACCUAUUCAGAAAAUGAUGGAAGCUAUCUUAUAAAGGUGUCAGGCACUCCUCUGUGGAAAGGGAAUGCCACAGUUCAGGACAGGGCAGCUCAACUUUUUAAUCAUGUGGACCGCAAGAGUACUUUGCCUGGAAGCCUGUGGGCCACACAGUGCCUUGUCAUGCAGUAGGCAGGGGGAGUGAGGCUCUGACUGUUGGGAUACUGCUGGGGAGACGGGGGCAUCAGGCAGGCCCCCAGCUGGCUCCAGCCACUGGCUGGCUGCCAGGCGAUCUCCAGGUCACAGAGCAGCAUCAGUCAGCAACACGAGCCUCAGAUACGUUUUGAGACCCGUGCACGCUCUGUCAGCAGAGUGUGUAAAUCUUCUCACAGCAAAAGAGGCUGACAGAGAAAUGUGUAAGCAGUGUGGUGUAGUGGUUAAGAGCAGUAGACUCGUAAUCUGGUGAACUGGGUUCGCUUCCCCGCUCCUCCACAUGCAGCUGCUGGGUGACCUUGGGCCAGUCAUACUUCUCUGAAGUCUCUCAGCCCCACUCACCUCACAGAGUGUUUGUUGUGGGGGAGGAAGCGAAAGGAGAAUGUGAGCCGCUUUGAGACUCCUUCGGGUAGUGAUAAAGCGGGAUAUCAAAUCCAAACUCUUCUACAGCAUUUUAUUCAGCAUAGUUCAGGAACAGAGGAAAACAUGUCUGCUUCCCUUUGUCUCCUGCAAAACAGCAGUAACACAAAAGCGAUAUGCAAACAGAAGUUCCCAGCAAGCGCUGGAAGUAAACAGGCAUGUGACACACAACAGUCAUGCCUGUACCCUUUUAAGGUGGAAAGGAACUAUAUCCUAACACUGACAGGGUUCCAGAGCCUUCCCACCUCCCUCCCAAAGCUGGGUAAGUGCUAACUAAGAUUUGGGAAGGAGGAAGGAGGACUCUAGGACCCUGUCAGAGCCCUCGUGCCUCCUUCCCAAAGCCCAGCACCUUGCUCACCCAGAUUUGGGAAGGCAGCAAGACGUCAGGGGUGUGUGUGUCAAAUGUUGCCGAGGGUCACCAAAAAAGGCCUCAAGGGCCACAUGCAGUUGGCCCUCCCUGGCUUAGGGGCUGUCAAAAAGAAUGCCACCCUAGUCCCAAACGUCUGAGGUUAGUGAAACUCCUAAGAGGGUCCCCACUGCUACUCUUAACACCCAGGAAGGUCUGUCUUGAAUUCUGCAAGAGUCCAUUGUUGGUUGGUUUUCAAAUGUGUACUUCUGAUUCCGUGUCUUUAGCAACACUUUUAUGGAACCAAGAAAGAGAGUCGCCAAAUCUUGAUCAAAAGACAGACACUCAUGUACACUAGUGGCCAAAAUUGUGGAAACCUUUUGGGGAAAGUGUAUUUCCGAGGUUUGAUGGCUCAUAACACCCGAUUGGCUCUCUAAACACUCAUGCUCAGUGGCUACAUUCAGAUGAACGAACGCUACUACAAAUCAACCUAAGCAAGUUGUGCUUCCCUUUUCUGGUUAUUUGACUAUAACUUUUGAUAGAAUACAGAUAAUUGAACAAAUUUUGUUGCAUUACAUUCUUCAUUAAAUUAACUUUCCAUUGAUAUAUAAUUUUAUGGUAUUACUAAAAAAAAAAAAAAAAGUGAUGUUAAGAGCCUUCAAACCUCGGAAACACACUUUCCCCAAAAGGUUUCCACAAUUUUGUUGUUUUUUUUUUAAAUUGAUAUUUAUUAAAUUUUCAAAAAGUAACAAGUAACAACAAAAAUUUCCAAAAAAGUUUGAAAAUACAAAAAAAAACAAAAGUAAUACAGAAAUAAUAAAGAAGAAAAAAACCCAGCCGCAAAAAAGAAAAAAAGAAAAACAGAAAAACAGAAAUAUAAAAUCCUUUACGAUCUCCAUUAACUUCCUUUCUAGACUUCCUCCUCCUCCCCUCUCUUGUUUCUUAGUAUUUAAUUUUUACAGCAAAUCCUUUCUGUUUUUUCAUAACAAUCUAUCAUUGCGUUUCCUUGUUCUAUUUUCCCUCUUGUCAUAUAAAAACUUUAAAACUCAAAGCUUAUAUUCCAUAUUUAGCAAAUUCUUACAUCAUUACCUUUUUACAAAUCAUUUACCAAUCCUUACUUAAGUCAUAUAAUUUCAUUCAACAUCCUUCAAACAUUUAUAAACAUUCCCAAUAUUAAAAAAUAAAAAAUAAUAAGUCAGAUUCAGUCCAGUCAACUUCCAGCCUCCCUCCCCUGGACCCGGGAUUGUCAGUCCUUUUAACCUCAAUAAUCCGGCUCCUUAACCUGGUUGUCUCGUGUCCGAGGCCCUCAAGUCUCUUUCUUGCCCCUUUCGCCACUCUUGUUGAUAUUUCCCUUUCAGUCGUGGAUACUCCAGCAAGAAGAUGCUUUUGACUCUUUGCAGCAAGUCCAUCCCAAACCCAUUACCCAAGCCAGACAGCAGAUAAUACCUCUUCCAAUUUCCAGAAAACUUGGAGACUUCGACUACUCCAAUCCUCUGAUGGCCCAUCCCUAGACUCGGAAAGUCCAAAUAACCAUAUAGAGGGUGUCAAUCCAUCCCCCAUUUCCAAAUCUGACCACAUUUCAUCUUUCCAGAUCAGGUUUGUCCCAAGUUCAUUUAUCAAGUUCAAAGGCUGAUCUUGCCCAUCCAUAGGUCCCUCCAUCUCUGAAGCCUCCAUCGCUACAGCAGGUUCAUAUACUUGUAUAGACUUUAACUGAAUUUCAUUUGUUUGCUGCUGUGCUCUGGUGACUUCCGUCAUCAUCAAGGUCGACUCCUGACGCAUCUGGUCCAGCUGGGCACUUAAUUUUGCAAAACCUUCCAGGAACACUUGUUCAAGCCUUUGUACAAGCAUUGUCCUUCAAGGUCAGAAAAAAUUCUUUCCCACGAGAAUGGUCCUUCUCUUUUAAACUCUCUGCAUUGCAAUUUCACUCAGUUCCACUAGAUGGAAACCCCCCCCCCUUUUUUUUUUUUAAGAGGGGGAAAAACAACAGUAACAAUCUUUCUUUUUCCAGAGACACUUUAUCCAAAAUUCCCCCUUUCAAAUUCAAGAGGCAACAGUAGAAUCAAAAUGUUACCCUUCUUUUAACUAUCUGUCGAGCUGGAUAAGCUUCAAAGCGUCAGUUCUGACAGCCCGCUCCUGGUUCAGGGCGGUGGAAAAUUACUUUAUUUUAAACUCACUUCCGCAGGGUUGAAAAGAUCAAAACAACCCCCUUCUUCUCCUGCAAUCAAAGGGGGUUCAGAAAUCUUAGAUGUUGAAUUUUAGUUCUCUCAGAAUUUAGUUUUCAGGCUUUAGUAUAAUUUGUCUUUGCUUUCUUCACGUAACAAAAGAACGGAAGGCGACUUCCUGUUUAGACCUUUCCGUUCCGAGUCCCAAUUAAAUUCAAUUUCAAGUUCAAGUCCAAUGUUAUUUAUUUAUUCACCAAUCUUAAAAGUAGUUCAGCUCUUCCAGGAUCAGGUACUCACGGAUAGAUGUUUUAGAUGCCAAAUUGUCCAGGAAAAGGCAGCGCUCUCCGAAGCGGCAGUGCGGCUUUGCUGCACGGAGGAAGCAGUCGACUCACAGCACCACGCACCUCCCACUCCGGAGCCCGUUACCGGGCUCCUGCACAGGGGAGAGCGCUCUCGGUGCCCGCCGAGUCCCACGCCCACAGGCUUCUUCCGCCUGUGGUUUUUAAGGGUCCCCGCUGCGCCGUAGCGGCAGGACCCAAGCCUCCGUGCAGCGGGUUCCCUUCAGUCCGAAGGGAAUUCCGCCAUUUUCCGGAGGCGCCACCCCGGAAGUCUAGGUUUCCACAAUUUUGGCCACUAGUGUUUACCAUCCAUUCAUCCACCCAUACACAAACACAGACAUGUUGCUGAUACUGCUGGACAGCUCCCCUGCCCUUCAGAACUUGGUCCUCUGACUUGGUAUUGACUCUACUGAUGCUGCUGGACCACUGCUGUGGGUCAGUGUUUCACUUCCCAGAACUUCCUGGAGGAAUGGGGCAUUUCCCCAUGUCUAGCAACAGUGAACUCAAGGCAAAAUCCUGAACGUUCUUGGAUUCUACAGUCUCUUUGUAGAGUGGAAAGGAAACUCCAGCGCUGUAGAGAUGAACACUUAAAACAGCACCACUCUUGGGAACCACAUAAAGCUAUGAGCAGUACUACUCCAAACUUAAGAGCUGUUUCUGUGCAAGAUUAACAGAACAAAUAUACAAAAGCAGGCUGCAAGUGGCCGCAUUGCCAAAUGCCGGUUGACCUAUUUAGGCACACCAAUAAAAAGCAAACUCAGUCUUUACUCUAGUAAACUGGGUCCAGCCGGAACAUAGGAGAGACUUGAAGAGAGAUGGCAUUGCAGAAAUACCAAUUUAGUGUGCCAAACAAAGGGUCAGAGUCUUAUCUAAAUGUUAUGACCUGUCAUGGGACCUUCUGGUGAAGAGUGGCUAAUUAAUCUCUUGAUAAGAGUUGAAUUGCCCCUGCCCACUGCUGGGUCCACUGCUGGAAUGCCACUGCAGAGAACUUUCCACCAAGGUAAUAUGGCCCUCAAGCCAAAAAGGGUUCCUCACCUGGUCUAGGAAGACCAUGCUGGAUCAGGCCCAAGGAGGCAGAGGGGAUGGUGAGUCUUAACCGUUAUCAGCGAGAUGCUUCUGGAAUUCCCACAAGCAACAAUUUAUUUUGCAACAGAGUUACUGGAAACCAAAGAUAGCCAUUGGUUGCUCUUAAGAGUGUUCCUGAGCAAGAUCUGAAUUUGGUAGGCCUAAUGAUGUAAACCUCUGAGCACCAAGAUUAUGUUUCCUUUCCGCUCUUUCUUUCUUUUUAAAAGAUAUGCCACCUUUGAGUACAGAUGUGCCAUCUAGAUCUUGUGACUCAUAGCUGCGAUUGAAAUGUGUGGCAUGAAUUAAUGUAUACCUUUUUUUUUACAUGCAGAAUAAAGAGCAGCUCUGCUGGAUCAGACAAAAGAUUCAUUUAUUCCACAUUCUGUUCCUAAUCGUUACCAGCCAUGAUGCCCCCAGGAAGUCUACAAGGAAGGCAAGAUGGCAACCGUUGUCUCCAUUGUUCAGAAACAUAUGCCUUCUGGACCAGAAUUCAGGGGAGGAGGAGACAUAGGGAAUUGUGGGAAGACCUUCAGUCCCCACAGCUGCCUCAUAGGGACCAGAUCUAAC